CAGGUGGUAGGGCAGUGGUAGAGCAGGUUGUCUGCUAAUCAUAAGGUUGCGGUUCGAUUCCCGGCCCACAUGA